rnacentral:rRNA from 1 species
GACGAACGCUGGCGGCGUGCUUAACACAUGCAAGUCGAACGGAAAGGCCUUUUCGGAGGUACUCGAGUGGCGAACGGGUGAGUAACACGUGGGUGAUCUGCCCUGCACUCUGGGAUAAGCCUGGGAAACUGGGUCUAAUACCGGAUAGGACCGCACUCUAGUGUGUGUGGUGGAAAGUUUUUUCGGUGUAGGAUGAGCCCGCGGCCUAUCAGCUUGUUGGUGGGGUAAUGGCCUACCAAGGCGGCGACGGGUAGCCGGACUGAGAGGUUGGUCGGCCACAUUGGGACUGAGAUACGGCCCAGACUCCUACGGGAGGCAGCAGUGGGGAAUAUUGCACAAUGGGCGCAAGCCUGAUGCAGCGACGCCGCGUGGGGGAUGACGGCCUUCGGGUUGUAAACUCCUUUCGCCAGGGACGAAGCGUUUUGUGACGGUACCUGGAGAAGAAGCACCGGCUAACUACGUG